UCAUGAUUAUUCCGUCAACUGUAAAUGUUUUUCUUUGGGUUGCAUUAGUACAGAUAUAUCACAUAAUGAUAUUUUCUUUUAGACUUUUAUUUUAUUUUUAUUUUAUUUAGAAGAAGUCGUGCAGGAUUCCAGUCUCUAGUUUUUUUGUGUGUGACUGGAGCUGCAUUUGGAUUCCACCACUUGUUGACAGCGCUGUGAUCGGAUUAUGGAUAUGAUGGCAAACGGUUCGCUUGGUUUUCUGCUUCUUUAUUUUGGAGGGAGGGGAGGUUGUUCUGUUGGCGCAGAUGGCGGCACAUGAGUCGCCUGUCACUCCGCGCAACAUUUACAGACAAGGAGGAGGACAGACUGGUUGCGAAGCUUGCGGCUGCAGACAGACAGACAGAGAGACAGUGUCCCGCCCGGAGCUGUCAAACACUGCGCACGUACCGCGCACAGUCUUCAGUCAGUGGAGUAAACCAGACUAAUCCAUCAACUCACAAGAUUAACCUUUUUUAUUAUUAUUCCAGACGCGCGAAAUUACUUGCUGUCUUUUUUUGUUAAAAGAAAAAGAAAAAAAAUCAUCCUCUUUUUUCCUUUCUCUUGUCACAUGGCUUUGGAGAAUUCAAUAACAAAAAAUGGCGACAAUCACGUUGCUCCGUGUGCUCUUGCUGCGUCAUUAAAAAUAUUCAUGUAAACACGCAGGAUUAAGCGGCGGAUUGGCAGCUAAAUGAGUGGAACAAGUGCCCCGCACUCCACGCAAACUGCACGUGAGUGACAAUGAUCGAUUAAGUGCGUGUUAUUCGAGUUUCCGAUCAGCAUGCUGUUUGUUUUUGCCCAGAAAAAGGGGUGUGCGUGCAAUGCUGGGCGUUAACGAUUGGCUGCACAGUGCUCUUCGCGGACUAUGCACUUGUAUUUGUGCUGCUGGUUUUCAAAUGCGCUGAGCAGCGGAGCUAAUGGAGUUGUUUACAAAGAAGUGCGGAGGACGAGGAGGAGGCGCAGGAGGAGGAGGAGCCGCGACGCCGACCAGCGACGCGACCUGACUGCUCGAGAGGCUUCUCGCGCUGAAGGGGGCGGAGCGUGCCAGGAUCAUAACAAGUCUGACGUCACUGUGGUUUGUAUGAAUAAUAGACAGGUUUGUAUGAAUAAUACACAGUAGUUUACUUAUACAACAAUUUUUAGCUUGAUGUUCAACAAAUAAAUGAAAACAGCAGGAAGAAUCAUCGGUUUACAGCAAACAAGAUAUUUCAAAUUUACUCAGUCAGUAAGUUAAAUAUAAAUAUAAUGUAUAGACAUCAUUCAAUUUUUAUUUUAACUCAGGUAGAAUGUACAGUGGUUAACACAUUUAUUUAGACCACCUGUCAUAGGAAACAAAUAUAUUGUAGUCUUUCAAAAACUUGUUUAAAACUAAAAAAAAUGUAUUUGACAAAUAACAAACGGAAUUCAACUUUUUAUGUCUGAAUUUGAGCUUCUUCUCUGAGAAGUUAAUCAAACAUAACAUUCAACCACACAGGAAUGCAAGUAAAUAGAAAUAAUAAUGUGCUUUACUAUUUUUCCUGUGUUUUCUUUUGUAAAACAGUAAUUUUGUAAAGUCAUAGACAACAAUAAUAAUUAGAUUUUAGCAUUAAAAAUAUAAUUUUGGGUUAAGGAGCUUCUACAUACUGGUGUAUGAACCACGACAGAAACAUAAGAAAUUAUUUUGAUAAUUACCAAAUGUUGUUAAUUUAGGGCAGCUGUGGCAUAAACCUUACAUGGGGUGUACUAUUUAUUCUCUAUUUAUCCCCUGCAUUAAUGUUUUUUGAUUCUGUAAAUAUGUUUGCUUAAUUAAAAAAUAAUUAGAAAAUGCAUAUAUGCAGUAGUUAAAUAAUGAAAUGCACAUUAUUUACUCUCUACCAUUUAGACACAGGAAUUAAUAACUUCACUAUUUGAAUAGUCAGUCAAACAACCAAUUAUUUUAUAAUUUUAGACAUUUUACAAGCUAUAUUUACUGAUAUCUGCUUUGCAUUGUAUUAUAAGAACAUUGUCCUAAUUGUUUUUUUGUUUUUUUUUACAGCACUGGAGUUUGUCAAACCUCGUCAAAUUGAUUUUCAUUUGUGUUUUUUUAAACGUAAGACAAGCAGUUACUGUUUUUUACAACGUUCAUGUGACUGGGUGAAUAGAAAGUCUGUGCAACAUCCGAAAAUACCCUUAUAUACACAAGCACAACUGAGCUUUUAUUUUGCAUGAUGGAUCAAUAAAUGGAAGAUACAUUAACUGCUAAAAUCACUUGUAGGACUGUUAUUCCGGACUGCUGAUCCACUUUCAAUAAAUUUUAAUUUGUUAUUUUUCUGGACACAAGCAGUAGAAUACGAUAUAAAGGAAACCAAGGACAAGUGGGAUUCCUUGAGUCCUACACAGCUUUGUUUUCUUUGACCCAUAUGUCUAUAGAUCAUGGAUAUUACUGGUUGAUGAUGAGUGGACUGAAGGUACGCACUGCUAGAUUUGACAGGCUGCCCUGGUUCAGUUAUCACAGUGCUGAUGCUGUCCCCAUCGAAGGUACAGUACUGUGAUAACUGAAGGAUGGCUGCCAACUUGACACCAGACCGGAUCAAGGCACCAAACAACAGAUGAGAUGCUCCACAAAGUGUAUGUGUUUAAGUGAGUAAAACAUUCAACUCUUAAUUUGUAUUUUAAUGUUGACGAUGUAAUCUUUAAAUAACAAAGGAAAUAAAAUUAUUUCUGUUAAAUUUG